rnacentral:rRNA from 1 species
AUGAGGGGCCCGCCCUCUACGCGCGUGCCAUCACCGUCACCACCAACGCCGGGGGCCACGGCCACGAAUCGCCAUCGCCGGGAGGAGCGUCGGCCGCUGAGACGGCCGUCCAUGUCGCUGUUGCCAUCGUCCUCGCCCCGACAUAUCGUCUCUCCGACGCGGACUCCUCCUUCGACCACAACGCCGGCAAGUGGAACGGAAUCUUCUAGGCUGUAUAUCAAGCAGGCUUCGUUCGGGAUAACAUUUACAGACGAAGAUGAUCCCGAGCCAGAGUGGGCAGCACAAGAUCAAAGAAACCAACAUGUUCACCGUAGUGCACAGAUAGGGUUCUUUCCUGAACAGAGGGCAUUUGUGUUGAGAUAUCAGACAGCUAGGAUGCUGGAGACUGUCCUUCGAGCCAGUGAGCUUGGAGAAGAUGAUACGGGCGAAGAAUCCCCCAAGCUAUUCUGA